AGAGGACAGUGAGGAUGGAGAGGACAGUGAGGAUAGAGAGGACAGUGAGGAUGGAGAGGACAGUGUCCUCUCUAUCCUCACUGUCCUCUCUAUCCUUGUAA
rnacentral:pre_miRNA from 1 species